CAUCAAAAUAAUAAUUGUCCCCCCACAAAGCAGACCUCACGUAUCAAAAUAAUAAUUGUGUUUCUUUUGUGUCAGCUGGCACGGCGCUUCGUUGAGAGGGAUAAUGCACCUGCUUUACGAUCAUGCAGAAGGAUUUGGUUGUUCUAGAAAUAGCUUUGUAAGACGGUUAUGAGAGAAAAAGAGAUGGUGGUACCUAUGGAGUCUUUGAUCCGGUUUUGCCCUUUGAUGGCUGACCCUCACCCUCAGGCUACAAGAGAUUGAAAUUCCACAGAGCUCUGCUAUCAUCACCAUUUGUUUGACCGCCAGUGUUAUCUUGCUUACUGUGUUCACCGGUUCCUCAAGGUCUUUGGUUUUCAGAGGGUUUCCUGGUUUGGAUUGGUUUUGAAGUUACUGACUUCACUUGGAGGACUCUUCUUGGCCUUGGGUGGGCUGCAUUUGCCUUGCUUGGCCCUCUGACAGUAGUGCGCCACCGCCCCCCUUCCCUUGGUGCGGUGACAAUGGUGUCGCUUCUUCUCUGUAAUGGCCCGUAUAGCCUAGGGUACCUUUUGUUUUGGGCUGGGUACUGGGACUAGUAAUUAUGAAUUCUUCGGCGUAUUUAGGCCUGAGCCAUGUAUUACUGCUGCUUAUUAAUGAAUUGCUAAAAAAAUAAAAGGCAUUAUUAAUGUAAUCAGGCAGUUGUGCAUCAAAUUCGACCUUUUCUUUUAUUAGGCUUCAAAUGGAUUGGAUUCAAGAACUCGUAGCAUCGAGUAUUAAAGGCUGUAAAAGAGAGAGUGAAUUGAAAAAUUAGGGGAAUGCAGUGAUUUCUUAGCAAUCUACGGAUAACAAUUUCAUUUAUUCCCAUAGACAAACAUCACACUGAUCACUAAUGGUAAUACACUGAUCAAACUCCCAUUACUGAAUCACACAGGGAAAUCUCAAACUAUAUUAUAUCUAAAUAAAAAGACGGGCAAAGAAGCGGUAAUAAACUGGUGACACGCAGACAAGAGUUAACGUGGGCACUUGGGCUCGAAGGCAAAAGGACCAACAGUAUAGAGAACAAAAGGAAGCUGAUUUGAAACGUAUUUCUUCUCAGGCCUCAAGCUUCCGCCACUGACGCCACCGUGGAGAUCAGUUGGUUUGCUGCAUGCAGUGUUUGGUGCAGAGACCAGUGACACUUUGCACUUGUGGGCCCCGUAGUUGGUGAUUUUCUUGGAUGCUUGGAGGAAGAAGUAGCCGUUCUUGUCCGUUGUGGCCUUGGCUUCUAGUGGGUACUUGGUAUUAUUGCACUGUAGUUUUACUGUAGCACCUGCAUUAUUAUUAUUUUUUUUUUCAAAUAAUAAUAAUAAAAGAAAUAAUGGUACAGAAUGAGAAAGCACUAGUCAUUCAUAAAAGACAAAACAGCAUAACAAAAUCAGAUAUUGGAUCCUUGGUUGCAAUGAGACAUGCUAUUGCCACAUGACAAUCCAUAGCAGGAUUGAUAAGAAAUUUGACAUCUUGAAUAAAAAAAAAUAAGGAAAAUUUUCAAAUAAAGCAACAUUUUGCAAAAUCAACAUUCCAACAGCACCACAGAUCAUGAAACUGCUACACUGUCAUUGCAUCGAAGGAUAGAUUGAGGGCUUAACAUCAUCAACAUAUUAAUAUCUACAUUAUUUAUGUCCAAUCAGUAAAAUGGGCAAGCUAUGAGAUGUGAAAGAAAUCAAACUUAAAAGUGGGCUCCAUAAUGAGAACGAGCAGAUGGAAUAAAGACAUAGUUGUACCUCUAAGUACAUCACCAAUAAAAUAAUUUGUGAAUACUACUGAUGAUGGGAAUGUUAGCAGGCUAGCAAAAUGGUUUCUUUAAAAGUUCAGAAUAUUCAGGAAAGAAUAACGGAUUAUAAAAGCUAUUGAGAACCAGAGACAAAUCAAUACAGAAGCAGCUAAUGAAUCAUGCAUUGGAUCUGUAACGCGAACUAACUUCUUAGAUCAGUACAUUCAAAAGAAAUGAAAUUGCACGCAAUCAUUUGAAAUGCACCAAAAAUGGAUUACUAUCCAUAUCCCAAAAACAAAAAGUAAACAGAGACAUUAAACAAAGGGUUUUAAAGGCACAUUUAUAACAGAAACAUAACAAAUGCAAGAAAAUUUUCGACUUCCUUUCCCAUUAUUAAUGAAAAACAAAGAAAAAAAGAUGAAGACAUGCUCCGGGGGAUUUGGAAGAUAUUUGCAAGCAACAUGAUACUUCCAUGGAGGACGGCUUGGUACAGAGGCUGAACCAGUAUAACCAAUUUGCAAUUACCUACAAAUGUACCAAUUGAGCCAACUCUAGUUGGUCAAAUACUAGAUUUUCACUUGUGUUGAUAUGAUGAAAGAACAUGGUUCAUACUUCUCUAUGACAAGCAAUUAAUGCCAAUACUUACGUAGGAAUCUCUAUCAUAUGCAUGGAUGCAAAAGGACGAUCCUAUUUUGAGCUGAUUUUUUUUUUUCCUACUGUGAUUAGUAGUUGUCUUGGUCUCACCAUGCAUCUCAGUUUAAUCAGAUAAAUACAAAUAGUCUUUGUGUAUGUGUGCAUGGGCAUAUGCGUGUGUGACAAUUAAUUGAUUGCCCUGAUAUCAUUACCUAGGAACUAUUUUAAAAGAACUCCUUUUACACUCAUUGAGACUGAAAAAAUUCAUUUGUGGCUUCGGAAGACUGUCUAAAUUGAAACUAUAUCCACAUGAACUUGAACUUUUGUUUCUGUUUAGUCAUCCACAAAGGAAAAAAGAAAAUAAAAAUACAUUAUGCAACUUACUAAAAAAGAGCAAAAGGUGGCCAACGUAACCAGUGAUAAAUCCUCACUCGAGACAAUAUUAUUUUUCAAUAGUAUCAAAAUGGAAAAUUUUCUGUACUAAUCAUGAUAAAUAAAUCAAUUUACGGAUUGUCAAGUUAUUCAGCCAAAUUGAUAAAAGGCCACAUAUGAAAAAAUCAGUAUAGAUAACAUAUGAUAGCAGAAUUCAUCAAAGGCACCAUAAGAAUACACAAUAAAUUACAAAAGUGAAUAUCAUAUAAAUGUAAUCAGUACAUAAGCUAUCAUCCAAGAUAACAGCCUCUCAGCAUUUAUUUCCUCCCUUGAAGCUAAUGCCAAGAAAAUUAAGGAUGAUUAAACCCAUAUAAAUUGUUCUGUGUUCUUUAUAAAAGGAAAAAAGAAAGUGCUUCAGCAAACACUAAGGACAACCUACCAAAUGUAUUGGUACUUCACAUUAUUAAACCUGUUUCUCUGCUACAUGACAUCAAUCUUUAAAUUUUCUCAUGUCACUAAAUAUGGGGAAGACACAAAUUCAAUGAAAGAAAAUGUAAAUGAAGUUUUGAAAAAUAAAAAUAAAAACUCAAGACUGACUUCCAAGAAAACAUUCUAUUGAAUCUUGAGUAAAAUCUGAAUUUCUUCCCCAUUCCCCCACCAAAAGGGAAAAGAUAUGAAAAAAGAAACAAGGGGGAAUUACCAUUAGCAAGAAAACUGUGUUGGAGGCAAACAAAUCUUGUACAUCCCAUUAGCAUGAGGCACCAUUAUAGCUCACAUGGCGCCCUCAUAAUCCAACUCCUCAGCAUCCCAUCACAGCACAAUUAUACACAAAGUUAACUGAGCGCUUUUGGGCAAGCAUGUUCCAUUGUGGAGAACCCUCACUUGGAACCCAUGAAUUGAGCUCUAUAAAACCUUCACCAUGAGUCCUAGGCCCACCAAUUACAAUGAGCCGAUCUCCACAUGCCCUAAAUGCAAGGCCCCAACCAUUCAUUGAGACUGCACGCUCAGGCAAUGCACCCACCUUAAACCACGAUUUUCUCUCCUUGUCAUACUUCCUGACCUCCAUGUCAACAGCAGCAUAUAGUUCAUUAUUUACUACAGCCACCAAAGGUGGAGCCUCAGCAGCUGCAGGCAUUUCAAUCUCUCUGGCAGCACCACUCCGUCCAGGAGACAUGUUAGGAAUUUCAGUCCACUUCUUUGUUUCUAAAUCAUACUCCUCUCCGCAUGUAAGAAGCUUCAUAUCACUUCCCCCAAUUCCCCCAAUAACAUAGAACUUUCCAUCCAUAAACACUGCUGAACACAUCUUCCUUGGUUUAUUCAUGCUAGGCAGUGUCUCCCAUUUUUGAUUCUCAGAAUUAUACAUCUCUGCAGAGCUCAGGAUGCUUCCCUGGGAGUCGCAACCGCCUGCUAAAAUUGCUAUCUCGCCACGGCUGGCAGACCCAAAUAAGCAUCUGGGAGCAUUCAUAGUCAUCCCAGAAGACCACGAAUUAGUCAAAAUACUAUACCUAUAAAUAACAUGGGACAUCACCUCCUUACCAAAUACAAGAAGCUCAGUGCCCACAGCCAAGGACUCCUUAUCCGAACACAUGAAACAGUCGUUGGAAGGCAUCCUAGGCAAAUGCAUCCAACUGCGGCGAAUGGGAUCAAAGGCCUCCCACUCAAGCAAGUGGCAAGAGAAAUACACCCAAUGCUCAAUAACACCGCGCUUCCGUCUCAGUUUAUAUAUAUCACCACUCCUAAUUAAAGACCGGAAACUUCUAUUCAGAGAAGCUAUAGACCCAUAAUCAGACCUAGAGCAGCGAAUGAGACAACUGAUAGACAUGUCACGGCCAAUGGCAUCAAUAAGGGGAUCGGAAUCUGAAGACUGCCCUGCUCGAUCAUCAGCAGAUUGUUCACCUGUGGUUUCGUGAUAAUCUGAUACCCUGGGGUACUUAAGUGGUCGAUAAUCGUCCUCGGAGCCGUCUAUUGGGUGCUUGCUGCUGGGCCGGAAAGGCAUUAAAGGCCACUGGGGUUCUGGCUGGCAGGAGCUAGCAAACAACGUUGGUACCAGACAGGACCGGCCCUCCACCAUGUCUCAGUAAUUUGGCCAGUUGAAGCAAUAAAUCCCGUCCACCCAAAUCAACAGUCGAAAUCCUUCCUUAGCAUUUAGCGUACAAGAAUCAAAAUCGAGAAAUCCAAGCACCUGAAGCCCCCAAAAGCAGGAGUCAAAAUACAGAAUCAGACGUAUUCAGAGAGAAUUAAACGAGAGUUGUAUACAAAGAGGAUUGAUUGUUAUUUUCUCUUCCCCCAAUCCAAAA
rnacentral:misc_RNA from 1 species